GGGUAAUUAGCUCAGCGGUAGAGCGCGACCCCGACAGGGUAGCGGCAGUUGGUUCGACCCCAACAUUACCCA
rnacentral:tRNA from 1 species